rnacentral:lncRNA from 1 species
CUCAUUCCCGCUUUUCUCUGCGACGAUUAGAGCCGACCAUUCCCACUUCUAUCUGCCUUCUCUCUACGAGGGCUCGAUCUUGCUGCAACCAUUAGAGCCGCUCUCUUUAUGACCACCAAAGGCCUAGCUGAGUCCGCCUCUCUUUAUUUUCUUUUUUUUUUUUUUUUUUUUUCUUUUUUCUUUUUUCACUUAUGGGGAGGAGCAAGAUGCAAGCCCAUUGAUUUCUGCAAAUGGCUAUUAUUGUUUGAAGAUGAAAAAAAUCUGCCAAUGGAUCAACGGACUUAUGAAGAUUGAAGAGCUUUCGACACUUACAAUUCAAAAGUGGCUCUAUCCCUCCCUCCAUCUCAAUCUCAAUUGCAGCUGAAACGAUCUCUCCAUCUCAAUCCCAAUCAGGGUGGCCCUAAAAAUCUAAAGGAAACAAUCCUCAAUUCAAAUCAGGCAUUGGAUUUUUUGGAUUGUAGAUUUUUUGCGUUUUUCAAUUUUAAAAAAUAUUUAUUUUUUUAAAGAAAAUCAAUUGAGUUCCCUUGAAAUGAUCUAUAUUUUUCCAAUCAAAUGCAUGACCUGUAUUAAAUAUCAAUAGGUCUCUAAAGUGCUCAUAAUAUAGGUUCUUAAUUUGGAUCGUGUUACUGUAAAAUUCUAGGAAUAUUAAAAUAAUUGAUGAACAUAAUGAUGCAUAUUUUCAAUUUUAGUUUUUUCUGAUUUUAUAAAAUUUUUUAAUUGAACAAAAAAUGCAUUGGCAUGGUCUUUUAGAUAUCCAUGAUCUUUAAGCUUAAUGUCUAAUUUUUAAGAUAAUAAUAAAAAAUAAUUUCUUGAUAAUGUUAAAAAAAAAAAAAUAUUGAGUUUUUCACUGCAAGAUUUAACCAUGAACUCUGUCAUCAUGUCACUUGAUUAUUUCCAUUCCUCUUUGAUUGAGAUAAGUAUGAUGAAUUUUUAGAUUUCAUUUUCCAACAUUUUCAUUCCACAAUCUGUUGAAUAAGUUCUCAUUGGAAAUAUGAAAAUUGUGUCUUUAGCUGCACCAUUUGUUAUUCACACUUUGUUUCAUAUUGUUGUCUAGUUACAACCAAAAUUUCAAAUUCCCAACUAUGUUUUUUGUGUAGAAAUUAAUUUCUAAGUUUUUUUUAAUGGGUGGCAGAGAAUAUCAAGGAGGCUUUUUAUAGAAGCUGUCAAGGUGAUAGCUAAGAAGAGAGGUGGAGCAAAUAAUACUCGGUAUGAACUUGGUUUCAUGGUCAUGACAUUGCUGUUCUAGUUGUAUUUGUGGAUCAUGAGCUGGUUACUACUUUUCUCCAUACAAGUUUUCGUUGAUGGUUAAUUUUCAUAAUGCCUCGCUUUUUUAGAGGAAGAAAAAGAAAUUGGGGAUAGGUAUACAAGCACCUCUACUGAUUAGAGAUGAUCACAAGAAGAACCUACUAAAAUUCAAUGGUGUUAAUCACAAGAAGAGCCUACUAGAAUUCAAUGGUGCGGCCAUAGUGUUUGUUAGUGGUUUCUUUUUCGUUUUUUAGUAUUUUCCUUUAGCAUCAAAAUUAGAUGGCAUCAGCCCAUACAUGUUUCUUUUUACUUCAUGUAUUUGUGGCGUUGAUGGCAAUCAUUUGAUUUUCUGAUUUAUGUGAUUGAUGCAAUCCAUUGAUUCCAAGAUGGUUGUAUUGCCAAGAGUUACAAUGAUUAUUUGAGUAAUAUUUGUUGAAGGAGAUGAUAUUGUUUGGAAUAAUAUUCAUGGUUGGUUGGCUUUUGGGC